GUUAGUUGAGAAUUAUUUUCAUUGUAAUCAGAAUUUAUAUAUUGAAUGUUUUUCAUGCUUUUGAACACUUUUUAAAUGUUGGUUACAGGAGGAUGAACAUGACAUAGAUGUUGACACUGCUGCAUCUGGGACUCAAACUGUUGCAAAACACUGCUUGCUAAAGCUUGUACGCCUCGGUUACCAUUGUUCGCUGAUGUUCUAGCAUCCAGGCUCUACUUCUAUUAUUCUCUUAGCUAUGAACUCCCUGGGGGUCUUGAUGAAAUUAGAGGGAAGCACUUCUUUGCCUGAUAGUUACAACUUAUAUGAUCAGGCAAAGAAGCAUCUGUCAAAGGCACCUCGAUUUGGAGCCCAUUCAAACCAGCCGGUAACUCUUAAUCUAUGA